rnacentral:rRNA from 1 species
GAUGAACGCUGGCGGCGUGCCUAAUACAUGCAAGUCGAGCGAACAGACAAGGAGCUUGCUCCUUUGACGUUAGCGGCGGACGGGUGAGUAACACGUGGGUAACCUACCUAUAAGACUGGGAUAACUUCGGGAAACCGGAGCUAAUACCGGAUAAUAUUUCGAACCGCAUGGUUCGAUAGUGAAAGAUGGUUUUGCUAUCACUUAUAGAUGGACCCGCGCCGUAUCAGCUAGUUGGUAAGGUAACGGCUUACCAAGGCGACGAUACGUAGCCGACCGGAGAGGGUGAUCGGCCACACUGGAACUGAGACACGGUCCAGACUCCUACGGGAGGCAGCAGUAGGGAAUCUUCCGCAAUGGGCGAAAGCCUGACGGAGCAACGCCGCGUGAGUGAUGAAGGUCUUCGGAUUGUAAACUCCUGUCAUGAAAGAACAAGCGGAGCGGGCGAACAGCCCGCCGAGUUGAUAGUAUUUCAAGAGGAAGGGACGGCUAACUUCGUGCCAGCAGCCGCCGUAACAC